AUAUCUCUCUGUACGGGAAGGAUGAGAAGCUUCGACUAAGGUUCGAUUCGAGCGUCAGCGAGAAAGCGUUGCCGCAGGCAACGACCCGAAGGGCGAAGCGCGCAGCGCUGAGUCAUCCUUCCCCCA
rnacentral:sRNA from 3 species